rnacentral:misc_RNA from 1 species
AAGUCGUAACAAGGUAACCGUAGGUGAACCUGCGGUUGGAUCAUUAUCACGUAUCCACGUUAUCAACCAACGCGAACUUUCGGCUAGUAGUUUCUUCGGAAGUGAACGCCUUUCUCAGCUCUCUGUUUCAGCCGAUUUAUUUCGUGCGGAAACUCUGUGGCUGAGAUAAACUUGAUUAACUAUCAACCCCCUUUAUACAUUAUUGUACUGAACUGUUUCUUCCUCUGACAGCUUCGGCUCGAGGAGAAGAAAACAAAUUUACGAAACAAAGAACAACUCUUAGCAACGGAUAUCUUGGUUCUC